UACGUAGGGUGCAAGCGUUAAUCGGAAUUACUGGGCGUAAAGCGUGCGCAGGCGGUUUCGUUAAGACCAGAUGUGAAAUCCCCGGGCUCAACCUGGGAACUGCAUUUGUGACUGCAUCGCUGGAGUGCGGCAGAGGGGGAUGGAAUUCCGCGUGUAGCAGUGAAAUGCGUAGAUAUGCGGAGGAACACCGAUGGCGAAGGCAAUCCCCUGGGCCUGCACUGACGCUC
rnacentral:rRNA from 1 species